CAGGGUGUAGCUAUAAUACAAAGCAUUCAGCUUACACCUGAAAGAUAUCUACUCUAACAGAUCACCCUGA
rnacentral:tRNA from 1 species